AGUGAACGCUGGCGGUAGGCCUAACACAUGCAGGUCGAACGGCAGCACAGAGGAGCUUGCUCCUUGGGUGGCGAGUGGCGGACGGGCGAGGAAUACAUCGGAAUCUACUCUGUCGUGGGGGAUAACGUAGGGAAACUUACGCUAAUACCGCAUACGACCUACGGGUGAAAGCAGGGGACCUUCGGGCCUUGCGCGAUUGAAUGAGCCGAUGUCGGAUUAGCUAGUUGGCGGGGUAAAGGCCCACCAAGGCGACGAUCCGUAGCUGGUCUGAGGGGAUGAUCAGCCACACUGGAACUGAGACACGGUCCAGACUCCUACGGGAGGCAGCAAUGGGGAAUAUUGGACAAUGGGCGCAAGCCUGAUCCAGCCAUACCGCGUGGGUGAAGAAGGCCUUCGGGUUGUAAAGCCCUUUUGUUGGGAAAGAAAUCCAGCUGGCUAAUACCCGGUUGGGAUGACGGUACCCAAAGAAUAAGCACCGGCUAACUUCGUGCCAGCCGCCGCGGUAA
rnacentral:rRNA from 1 species